GGGACAGAGAGGGGGACAAAAUAAGUUUUUUAGUUUAAAUGUUGUGUUGUUGCCCUCUUGUGAAGGUUUUAACGCUUGUAAGAAGGCAGAGUUUAAUGCAUGUCUUUUUUUUUUAAAAUAAGAACUUCUGCUUAACCAGUAAACACUCUUUUAUUUCUUUGCCUGCUGGUAUUCUGUCUUGCUCUUCACGGAAACCCUAUUUUAAAGGCAGAGUUGCUUUCUCAGGGCGCUGGCGUGAAUGGGACGCACUCCCCGCUUGUCUUUCCAAAACCACGGACACGCACACCCGCAGGGGAAACGAGCCUGGACAGCAAUCCUGCCUGCAGUGAUCUCCCAGCAGCCUUCUGAGGUGAGCCACCGUGGCGACUUGCAUGAGGAACUGAAGCUUAAUUUUAAUCGUGUGUUUCUGUCACUAGAGGUUUGGCGCUUCCUGUGAGCCCUAAUUGGGUAAGAUAUCUAUCUCUAUAGAUGAAUGUGUGCAUUAACUGCGUUUUGGUGCAAGGAUUGUGAAAUGUAUUUUAAUCGAGAGUAAGCUUGUGGCAGAGCAAAGCUCUGCCCUUUAUAAAUUGACAGGGAUGGGGUUGAAUUCCCCUGGGUUUGUGUUCGGGUGGCUGGGGUUGAUUAGUUUAAUGAAUGAUCAAUCGGCACCCAGCCACCUGACAUAAAAAGAGGCCUCUCUCCCUAAUGGGAAGCAGGGAGCUGAGGAAGCAGGUUGGUUGUGUUUGCUGAUCUUGGUUUGAAUUUUUUGAUCCAGUGAGGGCAUCGCCCAGCCUGGAAAUCUAAGUUUUGUUGUUUGUGUUUGGUAACAAGUGUCUCUGGGCCUCUCCACUCGCCAGCCUGUCACAAAGCUUCUCUUCAGGUAGCUGGUAAGUCUUGUGAAUCUUUCUUUGUUUAAUGAUUCUUUGUGGCGCUGGAUCUGUUUUAAAAGGCAGGUAACGCAUUAAUGCAAAUGUGUAGUUUUUUUUUUGUUUUACCCUCCUGUCUACUCCAGAAACUAACAGCUUUGUGCAUAUUCAUUUUUUGGGGGAGGGGAUGCUUGUGUUUUUAAAGCACGCUGCUGUUUGACAGUGAUCUUGUAUGUAUUUUCAGAUGACGUUUUGAAUGCAUCCUGUGUUUGGGAAGACUGGACUUCGGAUUCCUGGUUUGUGUGGCUGAUCUGGAGCUGGCCUCAGUUAAGAUGAGUAUUCAUUUAUUUUCCAUGCAUGGCCAGUUUUCUUCAGCUGAAAUAUCAGUUUGUUUCCUUAUACUAAAGCAUUGGAGUUGCUGUGUGUUUUUGGUGGGUGUAGUGGUAGAACAGUUUAGUGAAUGCUGGUGUAGCUAUAGCAGCAGCCCAUGGUAACUGUAAACGCUUUACUGUCUGCUCUGCAUGCUGCACUGUGGGGGGCGAGUUGUGCACUUUGCUAAGUUGGCCACGUUGCUGUUCUUGCACCAGUUCACUCUGUUUUUUGUCUCUCUGCAGACUUGUGGCUCUGACGCCCCUCCGAGCCAGUUUGAAGGUUUGACUUUGUUUUUGAUUGGUUUUGUAGCUGUAUAGCGAUGGCAGUUGACUGACUCUGGCUGUAGGCAUUGAAGUGACGCUUUUCAGAUGAAAGCGAAUGCUAGUGUCUGAGGUGACAGUCCUGUGGCGAGCGUGUCGAUCAUUGACUUGACUAGCUGGUGUGUCUUGGUUUCUCUGUGGCCUGCAGGGUGAGGAAUGCAGCGUCUACAUGCCUCUCCUCUGAAGAGGAGCAGCCAGGUCUGAACUCCAGUGUGGGUUGUGUGAGACCCUGGAAGUACAGCACAGGUAGUGUGGCUUGUGGAAGACUUCUUUGGCUGGGUGAAGAUCUUUUAUCCUGGGGAACUGCAUGGAAGGUAAGUGCUUGUAUUUAGUUGUGCAGUUCGAUUUGUGUUGAAGCAAUGCUGCUGUCUCUUGACGCUUCAGACUUGUGGUGUUUUGAGUCGACGCUCUUAUAGCAUAACAAACGGACGCUACUAUAGUUCUGGGUGUCUGUGCCCAGACUGGCAGUGUAAUCUGCAGUUGCAUUGUUAAUGAUAGUGUGAUUCCCCCCCCCCUUUUUUGUAGUUAAUUUGGUUACUGGGGCUGUGUGCAAACCUGUGACUUAGGUGUUCAUACAUGUACUAAUUGUGUUUGUGUGGAGUUGCUGGUAGCACCCCGGGGUUUGUCUGACUGCAGAGUGUGGGGUCUGUGUGCUGAUGCUGCUGUUGUGUUGCAGGGCUGGAGAGGAGAGUCCUGUACUUCUGCAAGACUUGAAGAAUGAAAAGUUAAGUAUAUAUGUUCUGCUUCCUUCUGUGGUAAUGCAAAUGAAGUGUAGCUACAUGUCAAAGUAGUGCAAGUUUCUUCUUUCCUGUAAAAUUGUCUGUAAAUAGAGGUUCUUUAUUUAAAGACAUGCAUGUAAUGUUGCAACAGAUGCCUUCUGUGCAUCUAGCAGCAAUGCAUUUGCAGCUAUUGUAACUAUUUUCAGAUGAAGUGUUUGCAAGACCUGUAUUUGAAAGUGCAGUGAAGUAAGCAAAUCUUUGAUAUGAGCAUUGUAGUGUUUGUAAGUUAACGGGAGUCCCAAUGUUGCAUUGGGAGCUGUGUUGCCCUGUUUCUGGUGGUGGCUCCUGUCUGCACACUGACGGGGAGGUGACUGUUUUGACUGAAGUGCAUUUUAGAGAUGUAACGUGUGUUCCUGGGUUUGCUUUGCAGAUGCCUGAGUUGGUGUUCUGAAGACUUUCUGCUGUGCUCAUCCUGUCCAGCUCUGAAGGACUUGUUUUUUUUUUUUUGGCAGCAAGAUAAUGGAUGUGUGUUUUUGGGUUGCCUUAACUUUUUUUUGAAGCGCUGCAAUUGUGUGGGAGUCUUUGCCAUGUUAAACUUUCUGUGACACUCUGUAUUGGACAGUGGUAGGACUUGCUGUGUUUUUUGCAGAUGUAAUUGGUUUUUGAAUGCUGGAGUUUGCUUUGCAGCUUGUUUGAGGAUUUGACAGAGCAGCUUCAGGACUGAGGUGAGUGGUUUUGUUUUUAUGAUUGGUGUGUAAUGUUAGGCUAGUGUACUUUAUUGCCCAAUGCUAUGACUUGUGCUCAACAGCCUUCUGUUUUGUAUUUCAUGUUCAAUGUUUGAUUUUGUAUGUACUAUCAGAGCUUGUGCCUGAUUCCAUGGUAUUUGUAUAAUGCAAAGAUGUUUUGACAUUCUUGUAUAUUUCCUUAUUUUGCAAUAAAGCUUUUCUAAAGUGAUUUGUUGUGGUUCUGUUUAAUUUCAGCUUUUCAUGAAAAGCUGAAGGGUGAUUUGAGUGUUAGUGAGCAGUGUUUUCCUUUGGGUAGGAGUCUGAGUGUGCUUGGGUGUUGUGGGCAGGUUAGGAUCCUUGGGUUUUGAGUGGUGUUUUGGAGGGGUUGAGGCUCUUAUCUCCCAGUUUGGGAGAUCUGUUCUGCCCCUACUUGUAGUAAUUAAACAAUCUCCCAAACUGGGAGAUAAGAGCCUCAAUGUUUCUCUCCUGCUGGCCAGUACUAGUGCUGCAUCCACUUGCACAGAGGGGUGGGGUCUUUAAAAUAUGACUCUUCCUGCUUGGUCAAGUGGGUUUGUUCUGCCCCACCUUACCUUGACCCCCUGUCUUCAUGUCAAGGGGCUCAUACUCUGCUCCCUGUCCUCAGCCUAUGAGGGUCUCUUCCUC